AACGAACGCUGGCGGCAGGCCUAACACAUGCAAGUCGAGCGAAGCCUUCGGGCUUAGCGGCGGACGGGUGAGUAACGCGUGGGAACGUGCCCUUUGGUACGGAAUAGCCCCGGGAAACUGGGAGUAAUACCGUAUGUGGUCGAGAGACGAAAGAUUUAUCGCCAAAGGAUCGGCCCGCGUUGGAUUAGGUAGUUGGUGGGGUAAUGGCCUACCAAGCCGACGAUCCAUAGCUGGUUUGAGAGGAUGAUCAGCCACACUGGGACUGAGACACGGCCCAGGCUCCUACGGGAGGCAGCAGUGGGGAAUCUUAGACAAUGGGGGAAACCCUGAUCUAGCCAUGCCGCGUGAUCGAUGAAGGCCUUAGGGUUGUAAAGAUCUUUCAGUGGGGAAGAUAAUGACUGUACCCAUAGAAGAAGCCCCGGCUAACUCCGUGCCAGCCGCCGCGGUAAAAC
rnacentral:rRNA from 1 species